CUAAAAUCAAAAGUCGGAAAAGUCACGUGAGAUAUGGCGUCGCAUUGUUGCCAGAAGACAGUUGGUCCACCUUAACUCACCUCCAUGUUACGUCACAUUCUGAGAUGACGCUUCUCGGCUGCCAUGACGACGGUUAGCGGAACAAGCUAUUGCUAACUGUCUCUGGGGGUCUCUGCUCCAUCUCAACUGAAGGGGUCCUUGGCAUGAAACACCUGAAAGACUCCUGGAUUAAAAGCUGUUCAGGAGAAUGCAGCAUGCUGUGAAGAACCAGAAAUGUUUUCGUUGACAACAAAACUUCACUGGACUUUCCAUCAGCAUGAAGAGUUCCCCGCUGAAGAAUGAUCCAUGGCAUUACAGGGGAGAGUGCUGGAGGGCGCAGGACAAACAGCAGGACUGCAGCUGGGUGAGAUGGUCCCAGGAGCCAGGCAUGCCGGCUAAGCUUGUGUUGGAGUUGAGUUUUGAAGUUCUCAAAGUACUGGGACUGGCGACUCAUCUCAUCCUCUUUGGCCUUCAGCUGCCUCUGACAGCGCUGCAGUCGAUCCCUCCAAACCCGCUCCCCUUGCUC